CAGUAGCCGCGGGAAAACGUAGGGUGCAAGCGUUAAUCGGAAUUACUGGGCGUAAAGCGUGCGCAGGCGGUUAUAUAAGACAGAUGUGAAAUCCCCGGGCUCAACCUGGGAACUGCAUUUGUGACUGUAUAGCUAGAGUACGGCAGAGGGGGAUGGAAUUCCGCGUGUAGCAGUGAAAUGCGUAGAUAUGCGGAGGAACACCGAUGGCGAAGGCAAUCCCCUGGGCCUGUACUGACGCUCAUGCACGAAAGCGUGGGGAGCAAACAGGAUUAGAGACCCGAGUAGUCCCUGUCUCUUAUAA
rnacentral:rRNA from 1 species